rnacentral:rRNA from 1 species
UUACCCGCUGAACUUAAGCAUAUCAAUAAGCGGAGGAAAAGAAACCAACAGGGAUUGCCCUAGUAACGGCGAGUGAAGCGGCAACAGCUCAAAUUUGAAAUCUGGCUCUUUCAGAGUCCGAGUUGUAAUUUGCAGAGGGCGCUUUGGCUUUGGCAGCGGUCCAAGUUCCUUGGAACAGGACGUCACAGAGGGUGAGAAUCCCGUACGUGGUCGCUAGCUAUUGCCGUGUAAAGCCCCUUCGACGAGUCGAGUUGUUUGGGAAUGCAGCUCUAAAUGGGAGGUAAAUUUCUUCUAAAGCUAAAUAUUGGCCAGAGACCGAUAGCGCACAAGUAGAGUGAUCGAAAGAUGAAAAGCACUUUGGAAAGAGAGUCAAACAGCACGUGAAAUUGUUGAAAGGGAAGCGCUUGCAGCCAGACUUGCUUGCAGUUGCUCAUCCGGGCUUUUGCCCGGUGCACUCUUCUGUAGGCAGGCCAGCAUCAGUUUGGGCGGUGGGAUAAAGGUCUCUGUCACGUACCUCUCUUCGGGGAGGCCUUAUAGGGGAGACGACAUACCACCAGCCUAGACUGAGGUCCGCGCAUCUGCUAGGAUGCUGGCGUAAUGGCUGUAAGCGGCCCGUCUUGAAACACGGACCAAGGAGUCUAACAUCUAUGCGAGUGUUUGGGUGUCAAGCCCGAGCGCGUAAUGAAAGUGAACGGAGGUGGGAACCCGCAAGGGUGCACCAUCGACCGAUCCUGAAGUUUACGGAAGGAUUUGAGUAAGAGCAUGGCUGUUGGGACCCGAAAGAUGGUGAACUAUGCUUGAAUAGGGUGAAGCCAGAGGAAACUCUGGUGGAGGCUCGCAGCGGUUCUGACGUGCAAAUCGAUCGUCAAAUUUGGGCAUAGGGGCGAAAGACUAAUCGAACUAUCUAGUAGCUGGUUCCUGCCGAAGUUUCCCUCAGGA